CCGCCUCCGCAGGCAAAUACCCGGUGGAAUCCCGCCUGGCUCCGAAGCUCCGCCCCCUGGCGGGAGGGCCGCGCGGGUUUCACCGCGGCGUCGCGGAAGGGGCGCGACCACCGUAGGUCCUGUUCCUGCGCUUCCCAAACUGGGCAGAAACGGCGAGAGGCUGGGGGUCAGAAACGCCAGGUUCCCGGCGGGCUGUACCGGGGCUUCGCUGUGUGACCUUGGGCUGGCGUCUCUGGGCCCUUGUUUCCGCGAGUUAAACGUAGGGGCGGGGGAGUUUCUCUGGCCCUGCCGCCUGUGACCUAAGGAGCCCCGUGACCUCUCCGACCCGAGCCCACCCCCGGCCCAGUCUGCGAGCAGCUCCAAGACAAGCACUCCCGGCGAAGACAUGUAGGCUCUCAGAGCCUGCGUUUCCCUCUGUAGAGCGGGCCUAGUUACUGUCUUCAGGGUGCACGCGUCUCCGUUCCCGACCCGCACCCUCACCGCCAGGAGAUGAUUUCUUAACCAGAAGAUACAGCAGGUUCAAAGUCCUGGAGGCCAGAAGGAGCUUGUAUUCAAGAAACAGAAAACGAAGUAGGAGCCAACCCUGCUCCCCACUCCAGCUUUCUCACCCUUCACCUCUGGCCCCAGGACAAGAUGAGCAGGAGGAGGGGGAGCUGCCCAACACUCACUGAGGAGUCAGCCUCUGGACCUUGGAGCCAGCAACACCCCCCUGCACUCACACCCCCACCUCAUCCUGCUGCCUUCUCCUGAGGAGGGGAAACAGGCCCAGAGAGGGAGGGCAUGAGCUCUAAUUUGAGUCCUCUGGGAUGACAGCAGUACCUCAUCACAUGCACACACAGAACCAACACACAUUUUUCUGGACCACAGGAUAUUUUAAAAGGUUUUCUUUUUUAAUACAGAAAAGCAGGAAGACGAAAAUGGCCUGUAAUGCUGCCACACAGAUAAUCUCAGUGGUAUUUUUAAAAUAAAGUUAAUGAAUGCCCACGUUUGCAAAAUUCAAACCAUACCAAAGGAUUAUAAAAUGAAAACUAAAACUUUUUCCAUCACAGUCACUCUCCCCAGAAACGAUGCCUCUUUGUUUCCUUCCUGAAGACAUUGGCAUGCCAGCAUUUUUUACCUAUAAAAAGAAAAUCACUCUGCCCACUGUUUUGGACCUUGCCAUUUUUUUCACCUAAAACACAUCUCGGCAGAUCUUUUCACAUCCACGCUGCUAAUCCGCCUCCUUUCUAACGGCUGUGCUGUACUCUGUUGUAUGCUUGUGUUUUCUGUGGGUGUGUAUUUACCGUAUUUCCAGUUUCUUUGCUCUUACAAUGUGCCAGCAGAUCCCCGAGGUACCUGAAUAUACUGCAAAUAUUUCCACAGGGCUAGGCACGAGCAGAGGCGCCGGGUCAAAAGGGUCUGUGCAUUUUUAAUUCUUGGAGGGGCUCUUGGCUCACGUCUGUAACCCCAGCACUUUAGGAGGC